CGUGGAAAUCAUUUCCGUGGGACAGGAAAUCUGUGGCAUAUUAUAUGUAAACAGGAUGUUUUUCUGAUGAUCAUUCAUGUCCGUGAGUUCUCCAUAAGCCAAGCAUUUGUAACCUGGGGAGGGCCUGUAUCUGAAUAAGUGAUGGGAAAAUGUUUACAUCCAGAUUAUUUCAGUCAUCAUGAGAAAUGCCACAGAUGAUAUGUUGUUCCACUAAAAAAUAUAUACCCGGUAUUUAGGAAUAUUUAGGAAUGUAAAUGUUAGAAGAUUGCAGUCGCCUCAAAAAUUGGAUUUUCAGGCUUUUAAGACGGCAUAAAACCACCUUGAAUUGAAAGCCUGGUAUUCCCUUCUUUGCAAUAAUAGUACAACCACUGUUGACUUUUUCAUGAUAAGACUUUUAAAGGGAUAUAAAAGUAGUGAAAUAUAUUUUAUGAUAUGUUAUGUGUUUAUGGCAGUUCCCCCAAAAAUAUUGUUUAUAUCAUGAAAUGACCCGAUCAAUGACAAAUGAAGUUGUCUACAUAUAAGAGGCUCAGCAAAGUAUUGAAGAUACCAAGUACUAACAAAUUCACUGACAGAAGCUUGUGAUCUCUGCUUCAAGUUAUGUGUUGGCCAGAAUGUUAGACAACAUGAUCUCAGGGUACUAAGUACUACUCCCAUCAAACACACAGU